UACGGAGGGUGCAAGCGUUAUCCGGAUUUACUGGGUUUAAAGGGUGUGUAGGCGGAUAUUUAAGUCAGAGGUGAAAUCUCCGGGCUCAACCCGGAAACUGCCUUUGAUACUAUUUAUCUUGAAUUUCGUUGAGGUUGGCGGAAUAUAUCAUGUAGCGGUGAAAUGCAUAGAUAUGAUAUAGAACACCGAUUGCGUAGGCAGCUGGCUGAACGAACAUUGACGCUGAGGCACGAAAGCGUGGGUAGCGAACAGG
rnacentral:rRNA from 3 species